rnacentral:rRNA from 1 species
CAGUAGCCACGGUAAUACGGAGGGUGCAAGCGUUAUCCGGAUUUAUUGGGUUUAAAGGGUCCGUAGGCGGACUUAUAAGUCAGUGGUGAAAGCCUGUCGCUUAACGAUAGAACUGCCAUUGAUACUGUAAGUCUUGAGUAUAUUUGAGGUAGCUGGAAUAAGUAGUGUAGCGGUGAAAUGCAUAGAUAUUACUUAGAACACCAAUUGCGAAGGCAGGUUACCAAGAUAUAACUGACGCUGAGGGACGAAAGCGUGGGUAGCGAACAGGAUUAGAUACCCCCGUAGUCCCUGUCUCUUAUAC